AAUGAACGCUGGCGGCAGGCCUAACACAUGCAAGUCGAACGGGUGUCUUCGGGCACUAGUGGCGGACGGGUGAGUAACGCGUGGGAACAUACCCAAAGGUACGGAAUAGCCUCGGGAAACUGAGAGUAAUACCGUAUGUGCCCUUCGGGGGAAAGAUUUAUCGCCUUUGGAUUGGCCCGCGUUGGAUUAGGUAGUUGGUGGGGUAAUGGCCUACCAAGCCGACGAUCCAUAGCUGGUUUGAGAGGAUGAUCAGCCACACUGGGACUGAGACACGGCCCAGACUCCUACGGGGAGGCAG
rnacentral:rRNA from 1 species